GAGGAGUGAGGUCAGUAUGAUAUGGAGUGCUGGGAAGGGAAAAGCGUGGUCCCUUUAAAUGAUGCGGAAUGGAGGAAGGGAAGUGCUGGGUAGAGAAAGGCGGGUCCCUGGCUAAGGCUCCUCCCCGACGAACCCCAUUCCUGCUUUCCCGCUCAAAUGUUGCAUUUUCUAAGACCUCCCUGGCCCGCCAUACGCCGAUCCUGAACCUACGAAAACCCAAGACUGCGGGCACGGUGGCUCAUGCCUGUAAUCCCAGCACUUUGGGAGGCCGAGGCGGGCAGAUCACGAGGUCAAGAAGUCGAGACCAGCCUUGCUAACAUGGCGAAACCCUGACUCUACUGAAAAUACAAAAAUUAGCUGGGCGUGAUGGCGUGCGCGCCUGUAGUCCCAGCUGCUCGGGAGGCUGAGGUAGGAGAAUCGCUUCAAUCCGGGAGGUGGAGGUUGCGGUAAGCAGAGAUUGCGCCACUGCACUCUAGCCUGGCGACAGAGACUCCUUCAAAAACAACAACAACAACAACAACAACAACAAAACAAAACCUCCCAAGACCCUAGUGGGCAGACACACAGCCAGCCAGACAUGGAGAGGAGCACAUUAGCAGAAGAAGACGCAAGUGGCUGGUCCUCGAGAGGACGUUGAGAGGAGCAUGCCAGCAGAAGAGCACACAACGACAGGCACCGACACACCACCGGCAGGCCAUGCACCAGCAGAAUGAUGCGGAGUUUGACGGGGCAGUCAGAGAAGAGCCUGGGCCGCCAAGGGGCCCGACUCCAGGGGAAAACCAUCUCCCUUCUGGCUCCCCCAUCUGCUGAGAGCUACUUCUACUCAAUAAAACCUUGCACUCAUUCUCCAAGCCCACGUGUAAUCCGAUUCUUCAGUGUCACCUCCCAAAUGUGGAAAUGCAUUGUCUUUCUUCUUUCCUAGACCAGUGGUCCUCAAACUUGAGCAGGUUUAAGCAUGGUCAUAGCAGAAUCAAUGUGCUCACCCCAUCAUGAAAAAAAAAAUGUGUUAAUGAAUUGAUUACUACUUUGAGUGUGCCAUAUUUUAAAGACGAAGAGAAACUAAUCAAGUUAGUUUUUAUUUGGUCAGAGGCUUGUUUGUGCCUGCUUAUCUAAAGUUAUAAAGGCCCCAAAUAUGGCUCCGUGUUGCAGAGGGACUGUCUCUUCUUAUAUCGACAGAGCCCAUAUUCACAAUGUAUCACACUUACCUCGAUGUAUUGUCUGGAGUUUCCUAGGCUGUGUCCUUUGCCUGGAAUGCUCUCUCUUGCUGGCUGGCUUCUUCCCACCAGCUGUGGCCAGGGCUGCUCCUUAUUCCUUCGUCAAAACUCCGUCUGCUGGGUGUGGUGCCUCACACCUGUAAUCCCAGCACUUUGAGAGGCCAAGGUGGGAGUAUCGUUUGAGCCCAGGAGUUCAAGACAAGCCUGGACAACAGAGCAAGACCCUGUCUCUACCAAAGAAAAGAAAAGAAAAGAAAAGAAACAGCCACUUUCUCUUCCAUGAGCCAGUUUAUGUUUUCUUCACGGCAUUUGUUACAAAUCACAAAUGUGGAGGAAAAAUGAAGGCAAAGCAAAAUAACAGGCAAGUCUGAAAACAAAAGUGUUGCCAGUCACGCUAAGCCUCAGGCACGCAUUCUGAAUGAAGCUAAAGUUUAAAGUCCCCUCUGAUAGAUUUGUGACUUAAAUGUCCACACUAGCAAGUGUGUUUCUCACAUGGAGAAGUAGCACGAUUUUAUGUCAGGAAAGGGAUGAGAACAUGCUUCUUGAACACAUACAAUGCUGAAGACAUUUCCUGGAAAACCAUUGGCCUUUGCUUAGGACAGUUGCAUCACACAGAGAUGUUUGUGGUUCAGAUUUAUAAGAAACAUGGGAACUGAAGCCAAAGCACUACUUUUGCUCAGUAUAACCAGGUGCCAGAUCUAAAGUGUUAGGCAGGUUCCUAUAUGUAUGUUAGAAAAAAGUUGCCCAAGUUUUGGACAAUUCCUUUUCCAUCUCUCUUACAAGUCAACAAAUCGAAGCAAUAAACUAUUCUCUGAAGAAAACAAAUUUAUUUGGUUGAUUCAAACUUUUAAUGAGACUAUUACUCCCCUGUGUGCCUUUCCUUUCUCUGGUUCUAGAAAUACAUCUAGAAAGGGGGAAAAUGUUAAUAUAUUUUCUACUGACUUUAUAUCACAAAUGCUUAGCUUAGAGGGUGGACUCUGAGGAACAGUGUCCUUUCCAAAUAUUAUAAAACUUUGUGUUCAUUCUGGAAAAACAAACAAAAUUAAUCACAAUGAUUUCCUGCUUUGGAGCAAUGAGAAAUGGGAGGGAAACUUCACCUUUUCAUAGCUUUUGAUGUUUGCACCAUGUGAAUUACCCACCCCCAAAUUUAAAAUACGAAUUUUUGAAAAAGUGUUUACCUCUGAGAAGAGAAACUAGUAGUGAAGAAUGAGGAGCUGUAGAUUUUUAACGAUUCUGAUGUAUUUGCAUUUUUCCCAAUGUUCAUGAAUAAAUAAAUGUGCAUUCAUAAUUAAAAAGAAUAAACAACCUGGAAAAAACAAAAAAAGCUCUGCGUUCACUGAUCUCUAAAUAAGAAAAGAUAAGACUUGUAGUGUGGCCUUGUACUUGUACAUCUUUUCCAUGUGCCAAAGAGCUACCCCAUGGUCAAGCCAAGUGGUGAUUAUGUAGCUUUCUCUGAACAGACAUAAUAGGGCUACACAUUCACUGUGAAAAAGCUGCAGACAGAUGACACCAGUCAACAGAACACCCUACACAGAAACUGUAAAACCAUUUUAAC
rnacentral:lncRNA from 1 species